rnacentral:rRNA from 1 species
GACAGAGGGUGCAAACGUUGUUCGGAAUUACUGGGCGUAAAGCGCACGUAGGCGGCUUUGCAAGUUAGAGGUGAAAGCCCGGGGCUCAACUCCGGAAUUGCCUUUAAGACUGCAUCGCUAGAAUUGUGGAGAGGUAAGUGGAAUUCCGAGUGUAGAGGUGAAAUUCGUAGAUAUUCGGAAGAACACCAGUGGCGAAGGCGACUUACUGGACACAUAUUGACGCUGAGGUGCGAAAGCGUGGGGAGCAAACAGG